UACGGAGGAGGCAAGCGUUAUCCGGAAUUAUUGGGCGUAAAGCGUCCGUAGGUGGUUGACCAAGUCUGCUGUCAAAGGGUGGGGCUUAACCUCAUAAAGGCAGUGGAAACUGGUGAGCUAGAGUGCGGUAGGGGUAAGGGGAAUUCCCAGUGUAGCGGUGAAAUGCGUAGAGAUUGGGAAGAACAUCGGUGGCGAAAGCGCCUUGCUGGGCCUGCACUGACACUGAGGGACUACAGCUAGGGGAGCGAAAGGU
rnacentral:rRNA from 1 species